CUUCACCGACCCCAGCAGCAGCGAGCCGCGAUCGCCGCGGUCCUGGCCGUAGGUGGCCAGCAGCGCCUGGGCCUC
rnacentral:antisense_RNA from 1 species